CAAUAGCGUAUAUUAAAGUUGUUGCGGUUAAAAAGCUCGUAGUUGGAUUUCUGCCGAGGACGACCGGUCCGCCCUCUGGGUGUGUAUCUGGUUUGGCCUGGGCAUCUUCUUGGAGAACGUAGCUGCACUUGACUGUGUGGUGCGGUGUCCAGGACUUUUACUUUGAGGAAAUUAGAGUGUUUCAAGCAGGCACACGCCUUGAAUACAUUAGCAUGGAAUAAUAAGAUAGGACCUCGGUUCUAUUUUGUUGGUUUCUAGAGCUGAGGUAAUGAUUAAUAGGGAUAGUUGGGGGCAUUCGUAUUUAACUGUCAGAGGUGAAAUUCUUGGAUUUACGAAAGACGAACUACUGCGAAAGCAUUUGCCAAGAAUGUUUUCAUUAA
rnacentral:rRNA from 1 species